rnacentral:rRNA from 1 species
GACGUAGGGCGCGAGCGUUGUCCGGAUUUAUUGGGCGUAAAGAGCUCGUAGGCGGUUUGUCGCGUCUGCCGUGAAAGUCCGGGGCUCAACUCCGGAUCUGCGGUGGGUACGGGCAGACUAGAGUGAUGUAGGGGAGACUGGAAUUCCUGGUGUAGCGGUGAAAUGCGCAGAUAUCAGGAGGAACACCGAUGGCGAAGGCAGGUCACUGGGCCGCAACUGACGCUGAGGAGCGAAAGCAUGGGGAGCGAACAGG